rnacentral:RNase_P_RNA from 1 species
ACACGAUGAUCGCCCUCUUGAGUAAAAGAGGGAGGAAAGUCCGAACACGCCCACCUAGUUCGGUGGAGAAGGGUAGCGGGUAAUGCCCGUCGGUUAGUAAUAACCAGAGGUGCGAGCAGAGACGUCCGGAGCGAAAGCAAAGGAAUUCCUUAUAGAAUUUUCUUGAGGAAUAGCCCAUAUAGUAAUAUAUGGGGUGAAACGGCUAAAUCCUUACUUGCGUGCAAGGCCGUGCUUCCGUCGCCAUUUUGUUGAAAAAUUUCAACAAAAUGGCGACGGAAGAGAGCCGCAUGAGGUGAUUGGCAACAGUCACCCUAGGUAUAUGAUCAUCCGGGACUUGUCCCGACAGAAUUCGGCUUAUGUGUACAA